UGUCCCUUAGGGUAAAUCUGGUAAAUUUGAAACCAUAAACAGAGAAAAUUAGCUUCGCCAUUUCAUAAAAAUGACACGGAUAACCUAUGAGGCAAAAUCUUGU
rfam:Nicotiana attenuata strain TT chromosome 1, whole genome shotgun sequence.